CCAGCGGUCCGGCCGGGAACGUCAAAGAGACUGCCAGUGAUAAACUGGAGGAAGGUGGGGAUGACGUCAAGUCAUCAUGGCCCUUACGACCAGGGCUACACACGUGCUACAAUGGCGCAUACAAAGAGAAGCGACCUCGCGAGAGCAAGCGGACCUCAUAAAGUGCGUCGUAGUCCGGAUUGGAGUCUGCAACUCGACUCCAUGAAGUCGGAAUCGCUAGUAAUCGUGGAUCAGAAUGCCACGGUGAAUACGUUCCCGGGCCUU
rnacentral:rRNA from 1 species